rnacentral:rRNA from 1 species
AACGAACGCUGGCGGCGCGUCUUAAGCAUGCAAGUCGAACGGCAAGAGAGGAGCUUGCUUCUCUCCUAGAGUGGCGGACUGGUGAGGAACACGUGGGUAAUCUACCCUUAAGAUGGGGAUAGCUGCUAGAAAUAGCAGGUAAUACCGAAUACACUCGGCAUAUCACAAGAGAUGUUGAGGAAAGGAAGCUACGGCUUCGCUUGAGGAUGAGCUUGCGUCCCAUUAGCUAGUUGGUGAGGUAAAGGCUCACCAAGGCGACGAUGGGUAUCCGGCCUGAGAGGGUGAACGGACACAUUGGGACUGAGAUACGGCCCAAACUCCUACGGGAGGCAGCAGCUAAGAAUAUUCCGCAAUGGACGGAAGUCUGACGGAGCGACGCCGCGUGGAUGAAGAAGGCUGAAAAGUUGUAAAAUCCUUUUGUUGAUGAAGAAUAAGGGUGAGAGGGAAUGCUCAUCUGAUGACGGUAAUCGACGAAUA